rnacentral:rRNA from 1 species
AGCGGUGAAAGUUUGAGGCUCAACCUUAAAAUUGCCGUUGAAACUGUUUUUCUUGAGUAUAUUUGAAGUAGGCGGAAUUCGUGGUGUAGCGGUGAAAUGCAUAGAUAUCACGAAGAACUCCAAUUGCGAAGGCAGCUUACUAAACUAUAACUGACGCUGAAGCACGAAAGCGUGGGUAUCAAACAGGAUUAGAUACCCUGGUAGUCCACGCCGUAAACGAUGAUUACUAGCUGUUUGUGAUAUUACAAUAAGCGGCUAAGCGAAAGCGAUAAGUAAUCCACCUGGGGAGUACGCCGGCAA